rnacentral:rRNA from 1 species
UGCCACAGCCAUAUCACCCUGCAGCCCAAGACUGGUUACUCACUGAAGCUAAGCAGGGCUGAGCCUGAUCAGUACCUGGAUGGGAGACCACUAGGGAACACUAGGUUGCUGUUGGAA